rnacentral:lncRNA from 1 species
AGGCGCCCCGCAGCCUGAUCCCUCGGCUGAGGCGGGGUCAGAGGGCUAAGGGUGACUGACUGCCCAGUGCAUGGAUCUCAGCAGCACGGCUUGACUUUCGGGCGGCAGGCAAGGAUGCUAAUCCACAAGGUUCCUGAGUCCAACAUCCCUCCCUCCAAUGUGGGGCUCGAAUCCGCUAUUGCAACCAAACCCGGGUUCUGCCCGCAGGGUGGCGCAAUGACAAGAGCCACCAGGUGACCCUGGUAACUCCCGCACCUAGACCUGGAAAAGGCCAGUCCUGUGCAGUGUGGCCUUAGGGCAUCUACAGCUCUGGACAGAGGGAGAAGGUCCAAGUCCCUGCUUCCUGCUGAGGGGACGGCUAAGGAAGAGAAACUACCUUAAUGGUUCUCUGGGCAGCUCUUCCUGGUCCUCACCCAUUGUGGAUAUACUCACGUCUGAUCCCCAGACUGCUCGGACGAUGGAAGAAAGGAGGUGGCUCUACCUACAACCUACAGGAGCAGUUUUUCUGCAGCACCACAUCUGUAGCCCUGCAUGCCGCUGGCUCCAGUGUUGUGUGUGUGGUCAUGCUCCAUCCAGCCCAGCAGCAACUUUGGUGUUUGACACCCCUCGGGAGGCACCGCUUUGGAAGAGACUGGUGUGUGCGGAGCCCAAGAUGUGUUGGGAACAGCUAUCGUUUCUACUGCUUUGUCCCAUGCCUCUGGAGCUCCUGGGUUCCUGAACUUCAAGCUGGGCCCCAUCCUUCACCCUAUCAGGGCCCUGGGUGGAGCUGACUUCCAACAGUAUACAGUGGGUCUUGGUACUUCCUCCUUGGCAUUCGACAGUUGGUGUUUUUGAAGUCAGAGCCAUCCUCAGUAGGCUCCUAGGGGAUCGUAAGCGGCUUUCUCUGGGUGGAAACCUACUCCAUGCAGCCUUCAGCAAAGGUACCAGCAUCUGUCACUGGGAUGGGGAAGUCCGGUGAUCGUGUCAGCAUGGGCUACGGUGGACGGGGAAAGGCUCGUUCUGACACUAGACACCUGGGUCUCUAGCCCUAUGCCUGGAUUUGUCUGGGGAACUCUGCACCACACUGAUCCUGGCUUUCCCCAUUACCUGCUCCAUGCCAGGAUCCUACGGCUGUUGAUCCCCUCGGAAGUGAGACAUAAUGUCCCGGAGCAGAUGCUGAUGGGGACUCACUGUUGGGCCACCUGAUUUCUGUGUUCAUCUUCCCAGGCUCCACCUUUCAGAUCCCAUCCCUGGUGUCUGCAGUUACAACUUUACUAACCAGAACUUUGUUUCCAGCUUACGCUGAAAAGCAAAGGGUGACUUAGAAUAAAAAUGUAACAAAUAGCCCCAUAGCCCAAACCUUUUCUGCCAUGAUUUACUGUACCAGAUACCUAUAAGUGUCCAGGGCAAAUUAAACACAUCAAUAAAUGGC